GUCUGGAUGGCUUAGUGGUCUAGAGUAGUUGCCCGGAAAGCGAAAGGCUCGGGUUCGAUUCCUGAUCUAUCCA
rnacentral:tRNA from 1 species